rnacentral:rRNA from 1 species
GACGAACGCUGGCGGCGUGCUUAACACAUGCAAGUCGAACGGAAAGGCCCUGCUUUUGUGGGGUGCUCGAGUGGCGAACGGGUGAGUAACACGCGAGUAACCUGCCCUUGACUUUGGGAUAACUUCAGGAAACUGGGGCUAAUACCGGAUAGGAGCUCCUGCUGCAUGGUGGGGGUUGGAAAGUUUCGGCGGUUGGGGAUGGACUCGCGGCUUAUCAGCUUGUUGGUGGGGUAGUGGCUUACCAAGGCUUUGACGGGUAGCCGGCCUGAGAGGGUGACCGGGCACAUUGGGACUGCGAUACGGCGCAGACUGCUACGGGAGGCAGCAGUGGGGAAUAUUGCACAAUGGGCGGAAGCCUGAUGCAGCAGCGCCGCGUGCGGGAUGACGGCCUUCGGGUUGUAAACCGCUUUCGACUGUGACGAAGCGUGAGUGACGGUAAUGGGUAAGGAAGCACCGGCUAACUACGUG